CUGACUCCACCUCUUUCCCCGGGGCCGCUCAGCAUUGCUCACCGGUCAGAGUACACACCCGAACGUGCACCUGCACCACAACACCUACGGACCAGGUGGAGGGCCGGCACGGCUGGGAAGAUCACUGCCGCCCCGAAUCUGUUCGUCCUAUGUCAGCAACAAUCGUCUCCCACUGAUUCAGCGGCUAGAGGAAAAUCCUGCAGUACUGGACUCCCGCGGUUAAACCUUUCCCAAUUGCGAGCCGGCUCUUCAGCCCAGAACAAAAGGGCACGGCCUGUCCCAGCGCGCCCCGACACCCCUGCCCCGCACCGCCGGGAUCGCACUCCGCCCCACACCACCGCCUUCUCCCGGCGGUUCCCCCGGCGGCCGGGCCGCCCCAGCCGGGAAGGGCCCCGCUGUGGGAGCGCGCUCGGGGUCGGCGCGGACUCGUCCCGCCGCCGGGGCCCAGCGCCCGCGGCGCUCCCCGCCCGCCAGCCAGGCGCCGCCGCGCAUCCAACAGGAAAUAGCUGAAGCAAAUUCCCAAGGCAGCAGUCCGAAAUCGGGGGGAAGGGCCAACUGCUCGGCCAUGGUGUGGAGGACGCGGCACUGCAGGGCACAGCAGCCCCAGGGACCAACGGUGCCGGCUCUCUCCCUGGUACACACCAGGUCAGCCGCAACGCUCCAGGAACCUUCAGCUUUCAUCAGCACCUGAUUGAUCCCGGAGUACCCGAAUCCGGCGGCUUCAUGGCCCUCGUCCCGCAGCAGCUGUGCUGAGCCCAGGAGGAGCUCAUCCUCACGGGAGUUCUCCUACAUCACAGCACAACGUUCUGCCAGAGCUGCUCUGCUGGCCAUUGCCACGAAAACACUACUACUGCAGAUUUUUUAUUUGCUAAUUGCUAGAUGUAACUAAGUCUCAGAUAUUUUUUUAAUCUAUCUACACAUACAGAAGGCGGAAUGUGACAUUUUUUAUGCCCGCACACUUCAUUGCCAGAGUCUACAAGCACUCAUCAGAAGAGGCAGGAAGGAAAAGCUGAGAUCACAGCAGGAAGGAGGGGGAAGAUUUCAAGGUGUGGAGACACACAAAAAGAAACUCAGGGGAGGGUGACCUGAUAAAGAGCAGGGUGAUAUAGUACCUCCCUUUCAGCUCCCUCCCCCGCCUUGCAUAAGAAUAGUUCUGGGGAGGGUGGGCAAUGCCUGCAGGUUGGGGAGGAGGACUGGCCAAGAACGAGAACGAAGAUUAAAGCCCAUAAAACAAGAUGAGGAAUAUGGCAGGGGAAUGAAAGAGGACUGCAGGCACGCAAACACACAGAGAUGGAGGUGGAUCCCUAAAAUAAGGGAGAAGGAUCAUGGGAAAGAAAAGUAGUUAUUCUGGUGUUGGGAGAAAGAUGGGGAACAAAAAAAAAAUAAAAGGGCAAAAUAAUAAUAAUAAGCACAGAAAGUUCCAGCAAAGAUGGCAGCACCUUUUUUGUAUUGUCUUACACUGGGUAAGAAAAUGCCAUCAAUCCAUACACUGAAUUUGACAAGGAAGGAGACUGUUAACAA